rnacentral:rRNA from 1 species
UACGGAGGGUGCAAGCGUUAAUCGGAAUUACUGGGCGUAAAGCGCGCGUAGGCGGCUCUUUAAGUCGGAUGUGAAAGCCCCGGGCUCAACCUGGGAACUGCAUCCGAUACUGGGGAGCUAGAGUGUAGGAGAGGGAGGUAGAAUUCCAUGUGUAGCAGUGAAAUGCGUAGAUAUAUGGAGGAAUACCAGUGGCGAAGGCGGCCUCCUGGCUUAACACUGACGCUGAGGUGCGAAAGCGUGGGGAGC